rnacentral:rRNA from 1 species
CUCAGAACGAACGCUGGCGGCAGGCCUAACACAUGCAAGUCGAGCGAGAACUUCGGUUCUAGCGGCGGACGGGUUAGUAACGCGUGGGAACGUGCCCUUCACUACGGAAUAGUCCCGGGAAACUGGGUUUAAUACCGUAUACGCCCUUCGGGGGAAAGAAUUUCGGUGAAGGAUCGGCCCGCGUUAGAUUAGAUAGUUGGUGGGGUAACGGCCUACCAAGUCUACGAUCUAUAGCUGGUUUUAGAGGAUGAUCAGCAACACUGGGACUGAGACACGGCCCAGACUCCUACGGGAGGCAGCAGUGGGGAAUCUUAGACAAUGGGCGCAAGCCUGAUCUAGCCAUGCCGCGUGAGUGAUGAAGGCCUUAGGGUCGUAAAGCUCUUUCGCCAGGGAUGAUAAUGACAGUACCUGGUAAAGAAACCCCGGCUAACUCCGUGCCAGCAGCCGCGGUAAUACGGAGGGGGUUAGCGUUGUUCGGAAUUACUGGGCGUAAAGCGCGCGUAGGCGGAUUGGAAAGUUGGGGGUGAAAUCCCAGGGCUCAACCCUGGAACUGCCUCCAAAACUAUCAGUCUAGAGUUCGAGAGAGGUGAGUGGAACUCCGAGUGUAGAGGUGAAAUUCGUAGAUAUUCGGAAGGAACACCAGUGGCGGAAGGCGGCUCACUGGCUCGAUACUGACGC